UUUAUUUAGAACUAAAAAAUUGUUAGUAAAUAUUAUCUAUGAAAACAAAAAAUCAUGGCGGUAUUUUUAACUUUUCAGAGGAAUUUGCUCUUUAAUGGAUAAAACGCCAAAAUCUUACUAAAUUUUGUUAAUUCAGUUUGUAUACCACUAUUUAAGUAAUAUUUCAUAAAUACUACUUAAUUUUUUAUUUAAAAAUAAAUUAAGUCAAGGUGCAACAAAAAUUUUAGUAUGAAGUGAAUUACAUUCCUUUUUAGGUCCAAAAAAAUGAAAAAAAUUUCAUAAAGGAUUUGAAAGUAAAUUUUUAAUAAAAUGACUAUUUGAAAAAAGUUCAAAAAUAUGCAC
rnacentral:rRNA from 1 species